CUAGCGGCAUUUCCCCUUGUCUCCCCUGAUUUCCUCGGCUACCAUAGGAUAGGCAAAAAUGGCGGCAACGAGAGGCACGCCGGCCAUGGCGGUGCGACAUCCCCAUUCGUCGGAGCAGCGUGCCUGGCCUCAAGGCCGCGCGCUCCUCCGCCGAACGGCGCUAGCCGUGUCGAGCACAUGCUGAGAUCAGGAGCCGGUCUGUGCCGGCGACGCGCACAAGGCGCUCGGUGCCAAGGUGCGAAGGCGGCCGCCGAUGCCUGUCGUUUGCUGGUCUACGACGACUUGCGCGGCGCACUGGCCACACAAUAUUCGCGUCCAAUAGGGCGGCGCCGCCGGCCAUUUCUUUCCGCCGGUCAUCAAUAGAGACGGCGGCGUCGUGGGAUCAGUAGAUAAGCCUCAAAUCCCUUUCGCUUAGUCUUAAUUUCAACAUUUUUUGGGCUUCAAAAAUUGGGGAUUUGGAUUUGGGGACGAACUUUGGGAAUCAGGGGAUUAUCCUUUUCUAUAUGGUUCGGAAUUGGGGUCAGGGUUUCAUGAUUGGGGGAAAUUUGCCAUUAUAGUUUCUCAUCAUUUUGCAAUCCCUCUCCCCUUUGCUACUAACAGAGUCAAUGCCUUGUUGACUAUACAAUGGUAACUUGAUUCGGAUCAAGACGUAAUUGCAUCAACCAUUCGCUUUAUAUAAUCAUGAACAUUAAAAUUAUCAGAAAAACUGCUAACUAGUGAACGUAGCAUUAAUCAUAACAUACAGGUAAAAUAAAAUAAAAUAAGAGAUGCACUUGAUUAAUCAGGACUACCACAUCAUUAACCGAAACCAUCAAGAUUAAACAUGAUCAUUAUGGUUUAUCAUAGGUCUAUUAGGCCAUUGAGUUUGACCAUAUACAAUUUGGCCACUUAACUUGGGAUUAACGUUUGGAAGCCCUAAUUAGGGUUCUAGCCAGAUUAGGUAGGCUCAAGAUACCAAUGUCAGGAAAAAAUAGCCUUAGGGUAGUCAACGUAAGGGCCUAAUCUCUGACUAGAUCAACAGCAUUAUGCGGAAGCGUGAGGACUUACAGGUGCUUGGAGAAAUCCCAUGGCGGCUGCCCGAUGCAGCCCCCUGUGUAGACCAUGGCUGCACCUUGUGAUCUCCAGCAACAGGAGAUUGUCGGGGAAGAGAAAGGUAGCAGCUGAAUGAUGCAGAUGGCAGCAGGAACGCCGCCAGCACAGACCUUGCGGCGGCUGGCGGUGGUAGACGGUCUUCUGGUCAUCAGCUCCCUCUUUUUAGGAUCGGUAGUUGGACUUAGAGGUUUAACUCGUACUUAUGUGUGUACUCUUCUCAAGAGGUACGUGACUCUUCUUUAUAUAUGAGAGGGGCUGAUGGGCCCGGGACCGAAACCAAAUGUUGGUUCUGGGUGUGCCCGAUCAGAACACCAUCGUGGGAAAAGACUCCCCCUUUUCUCUCAGUCAAUAACUGCCUGAGAUCAAUUCCAACAACCACCAGUCGAUUCCCACGCCGUCCCGCCGCCGCCCCAUGCCUCCUUGCUGCUGCAGCGCCGCCCACCCCGUACUGCCCUACAGCGCCGCCCAACACCGUCCUACCUCUCCACCACCGGCUCCACUCCCUCGUGCUCUCUCUCGCGGUGGUCACCUCCAUCCAGUGACCUUGCUGCCACCCUCCCAUCUCGACCAUCCAGCUCAAGGAGACACACGCAAUGGUAGCGGUGGCGAUUUGGAUCGGGGAAGCGUUCGGCUGGUCAAGGGCAUCCCUCUGUCUUUGGCUGGGCAAGGGCACCGGUGCGGGCGAGAACUCAAGAGUUGAAGCUGAGGAAAACAAAGAAGGUGAAGAAGAUGAUGAAGACGAUGAUGAAGAUGAUGAUGAAGAGCCCUUUGUUCAUAGAAGAGUUAUUGCAAAGCCCCCCCUGCAAAAAGCUCCUCAUCCCAUCAAGAUGAAGUCCUAAUUGGUAUGGAUGUCCUUCUAUAUGCAUGGACUGGUCCUGAAAAUCCUGUUGCUAAGGCAGCAAUUAUCUCAGUUGUCCAGACACAGUUGCGGGCUCGGAUCCCCUUGGACCAGCACUUAUGAGGUUGUUGUCAAUGUUGUGAUCAGGAGGGAUGCUAUGCUGCCUUAUGAAUAUGAUGGUUUACGAUUUGUCACUGAUGCAGUCACAGGGUCCAUUGCAUGGCCAUCUAGCAAGGAAAGACAUACAAAAGGACCGGAAGGAACCAUGAAGAUGGCAGUUUGCGUCAGCUAGACAUUUUGUGUAAUGGAGCAAAAAUAGCGAUUUUUAGUAUCAUUUUGUAAACCUAUAUGGUGUCUUGUCAUCUGGGUAUUUUGUGUAAUGGAGCGAACAAUGAAUUGGCGGACAUGCAUCUAUCAUUUUGUAAAUCUAUCAGGUGAUCAUAAAUGUUGGAAUGCUGAUGAGAAUUAAUUAAUGU